rnacentral:rRNA from 1 species
UACGGAGGGAGCUAGCGUUGUUCGGAAUUACUGGGCGUAAAGCGCACGUAGGCGGCUUUGUAAGUUAGAGGUGAAAGCCCGGGGCUCAACCCCGGAAUUGCCUUUAAGACUGCAUCGCUUGAAUCCGGGAGAGGUGGGUGGAAUUCCGAGUGUAGAGGUGAAAUUCGUAGAUAUUCGGAAGAACACCAGUGGCGAAGGCGGCUCACUGGACCGGUAUUGACGCUGAGGUGCGAAAGCGUGGGGAGCAAACAGG